rnacentral:rRNA from 1 species
CGGUAAUUCCAGCUCCAAUAGCGUAUACUAAAGUUGUUGCAGUUAAAAAGCUCGUAGUUGGAUUUCUGCGGGGACGGAGCGGCCGGUCGCAACUUGCGACUCGAGCUAGCGCUUUCCCCGCAUCCUGCCGCGAACCGUGCUACCAUUAGUUUGGUGGCGCUGGGGAUCGGCUCGAUUACUUUGAGAAAAAUAGAGUGUUCAAAGCAGGCCACACGCCUUGAAUAAGUUAGCAUGGAAUAAUGACUAAGGACUUUGGUUCUUUUCGUUGGUGUUCGGGACUGAAGUAAUGAUUGAUAGGGACAGUUGGGGCGGUCCGUAUUCCAAAGCGAGAGGUGAAAUUCUUAGACCUUCGGAAGACGAACAGCUGCGAAAGCGUUCCGCAAGGAUGUUCCCUUUGAUCAAGAACGAAAGUUGGGGGAUCGAAGACGAUCAGAUACCGUCGUAGUCUCAACUAUAAACUGUACCAGCUAGGGAUCGGCCAACGUUUAACUAUUCGACUUGGUCGGCACCUUAUGAGAAAUCAAAGCAUCUGGGUUCCGGGGGGAGUAUGGUCGCAAGGCUGAAACUUAAAGGAAUUGACGGAAGGGCACCACCAGCCGUGGAGCCUGUGGCUUAAUUUGACUCAACACGGGAAAACUUACCAGGUCCGGACAUAGUAAGGAUUGACAGAUUGAUAGCUCUUUCUUGAUUCUGUGGGUGGUGGUGCAUGGCCGUUUUUAGUCGGUGGAUGUGAUCUGUCUGCUUAAUUGCGUUAACGGACGAGACCCCAGCCUGCUAAAUAGCGCGGCCGAGCUUUGCUCGGUGCGAGCUUCUUAGAGGGACCAUGAUGCGCGAUAGCACAAGGAAGUUUGGGGCAACAACAGGUCUGUGAUGCCCUUAGAUGUUCUGGGCCGCACACGGGCUACACUGGCGCCUGCAACGAGCAUAUCAGCUGGCCCGAGAGGGUCUUGGCUAAUCUUUGGAACCGGCGCCGUGCUUGGGAUUGACCAUUGCAAUUGUUGGUCAUGCAACGAGGAAUGCCUUGUAAACGCGAGUCAUCAGCUCGCAUUGAAUACGUCCCUGCCCCUUGUACACACCGCCC